rnacentral:rRNA from 1 species
UAUCCUACGGGGGGCAGCAGUGGGGGAUAUUGCACAAUGGAGGAAACUCUGAUGCAGCGACGCCGCGUGAGGGAAGACGGUCUUCGGAUUGUAAACCUCUGUCUUUGGGGAAGAAAAUGACGGUACCCAAAGAGGAAGCCUCGGCUAACUACGUGCCAGCAGCCGCGGUAAUACGUAGGGAGCGAGCGUUGUCCGGAAUUACUGGGUGUAAAGGGAGCGUAGGCGGGCGAGUAAGGUUAAUUGUAAAUCCAC